AUCCUGAUCUAAGGGCCAAAAAUCCUCCAAAAUCAAAAAAGGAAAAGAAAAUACUAAAGAAAAAAAAAAGGCCUUGUUACCAUUGAUGAACCCUUGUCAGAACCCUAGCGGGUUCUUAGGUGUUCAAAGAUCGAAGAAAGUCUCCGAGGACGGUAGAAGAUGAAGCAACAGGUCCAGCGCUCGGUUAACGGAAGGGAGCAGGUGGCCUCUUUGCCUCUUUGGUGAAACGUCAGCAGAAAAGAUGUCAGGCCUCGGGUUGAAACGCGUGGGGCUGAUUAGGGUUUUGAUUUUAUUGAAAUUUAGUUUAGUUUUGGGCCAAUGGGCUGCCUAGGGUUUUUUGUAAAUUGGGCUUGUAUUUUGUUAUUAUUUGGGUCUGUAAUUUUACAAAUUUGUUUUAUUUUGAGUUUUAUUUAUUUGGUUUUGUUGAUUUUGGGCUUGGACAAAUUGGGCCUAUUACACUACAGUUAGGAACCAUAUCCAAUAUAUAUUUUCCUAACUCAACCACCUUGAUCAAAA